GAUGAACGCUGGCGGCGUGCCUAAUACAUGCAAGUCGAGCGAACAGACGAGGAGCUUGCUCCUCUGACGUUAGCGGCGGACGGGUGAGUAACACGUGGAUAACCUACCUAUAAGACUGGGAUAACUUCGGGAAACCGGAGCUAAUACCGGAUAAUAUAUUGAACCGCAUGGUUCAAUAGUGAAAGACGGUUUUGCUGUCACUUAUAGAUGGAUCCGCGCCGCAUUAGCUAGUUGGUAAGGUAACGGCUUACCAAGGCAACGAUGCGUAGCCGACCUGAGAGGGUGAUCGGCCAACCGGGAAUGGGAAACGGGUCCGAACCCCUAGGGGGGGAAGGAGAGGGGAAUUUUCCGCAAUGGGGGAAAGCCUAACGGGGCAACGCCGGGUGGGUGAUAAAGGUUUUGGGAUCGUAAAACUCUGUUAUUAGGGAAGAAAAAAUGUGUAAGAAACUUUCCCCGUUUUGACGGUACCAAAUCAAAAAGCCACGGCUAACUACGU
rnacentral:rRNA from 1 species